ensembl:ncRNA lncRNA:CR43431 long non-coding RNA:CR43431
GCUCCGUGUGCAGUGCUUACGGAAAAGCUCGCGAAGUCCCCGAAAAAGCUCGGGAGGGAAAGCUUGUGCCGCUUUUGCAGAUGCAACUUGGCAAGUCAAGCUGCUGCACCUACUACGAACGUUCAAAAUGGCGGCUCUGUCGGCGAAAUGCCGAUAAAUCAAAGUUUCUCAUUUUAAAAAUGCCAAGUGACCACCGCGCCAUCACACAGCAGCGGGCACUAGAAUAGGGAUGGUACUUUUCCCUGACAGUUAUGAAACAUGACGACAAGUGCCCCACUCAAUCAUCAACAAACAAGUCGUGUUAAAGUGACUUAUCCUUUCAUGUAUACAUUUCCCUGAAAUUGCCUGCCUUAAAGGGGAUGCGACCCGAGGCACUCAGCCAUCGAAAAGUUAUUGCAACCCGAUCCUGUGUCGCUGGAUGUACAUAAAUACCAGAUACCAGAUACCAAAUACCAGUUCCAGUUUCCGCCGAUCGAGUCCAAGUUCAUUGGGAAUAGGGAGUGUGGAAUGGGCGAUGUCCGGCCUGACGUUUAUGAAAAGCCAUCGCAGCAUCAAAGCCAAUUAAGAUACUGGUGGACAUACAUACAAGCUCUAAAGGAAUACGCGGCUAAUUUCUGCGACAAAGCCGACAAACGAUCGAAUUCGAGUUGGAGAUGGAGAGUCUUGGGGCACACAAGAAGAAGCGGCACUUUUGUCGCAAACACAGGCCAUAAAAUUAAGAACUCUGAUUGGUAACAAAUGUUUUUGUUCAUUCGAGUGAUAAAAACGUAGCGAACCGAAAAGAUAUAAAGUUCUCUUUAGUGUCUUGCCAGUGCGGCGAUGAUAAAAUAUUUAAAUGAGCGCCGAAAUGGUAAGGUUCUCGGCUUUGGCCCUGCAUUCGAUGGGAUCUGCUUGGAUCGAAGCGGACAUUUAGGAAAUCAGAGGGCCAGACCGAAAACCUUAAUGGCCGCGCACACGAACCUGGCCAAACAAGCCCAAAAAACAGUGGGCCUAAACAAGGCCCAAGGGCAAAAGUGUGAAACAUCGAGCGGCGUAACGCCAAUAGCAUUCGUCGAUAACCACUGUGUGUCGCCGAGUAAGACGGUCGGCUGUCAUGAUUAAACAAAAGUCCAAUGCCAGCUAGGAUAUUAAAUUACAGACCAUAACAGCUAAGGACAGAGGUAAGGACCCAUUCCGGCUUGCCCCUUUGGAACCAGCCGACGACGUUGACCAAGCCCAAAACCCAAACCGAAAAUCCAAAAUCCAAAAGCCAAAAGGCCUGCUGCAGAUACGAGAAACGGCCACGACAAAAUCAUAAAAGGCAUAAACAGUUGUAAAGACCCAAACCACAAAGGGCGUAGAAUCAAAAUUGAGCACUAAAACGUUAUCGAGGUCGGCACAGAUUAACUAGCCUUUUUGCUGUUGACUUCGGGAUGGACGAGGGACAUACGGACAAGUGGACAUACAUACGAACAAACGGACGACAUUCAGGCAGGUAGUUCAUUCUGAAAUAUCGAAUGCAUCUUAAAGAUACUUGUGCGACAUUACGAUCAUUACUCUGUGUAACAGAUAUACACUUCGGAUGGGUGGAGAGAAGAGAGGAGGAUGGGAAAGAUGGCAUGGACUGCAGACAGAUCGACCUGUCGUGUAAUCCGGUCCUGCCUGGCAAUUAUAACCAUAUAUAGCCCCCGCUGGCGACGGUGCCGCGUUGACGACCCACAACCGAGUUAUUGUCCAAAAAAAAUUGUCAUUCACAACUGUCUCGCCGAUAAGAAACAAUUAUCAGGGGCAAAAGGACGGCGGUGGUAGGAGCGAUCACAUUGAAUGGCGCCAGUUUCACAAUGAAUCUUCACGGAAAGGACUAGUCUUACGUUAAGAUUUCGUCAUGCCCUUUUUAAAUGUAGGUUACAUAAAAAUAUGUUUAUGGGUAUUAUGUUAUGGAGAGCGGGAAUGACUGCUACCGAGAUCUUACGACGUGGGAAUGAGAUUACAGGAGCCUAAUGGCAUUUGUAAUAUUGCUAGAUCAGUUUUAAAAUUCGUUAAUCUUUGAAAU